UUGUAGCACGUCACAAUAACUCUCGAGUAGUUUAAAAAAUUAACAAUAUUAAUUCAAUAUUUUAACGGCUUGCCUAUGUAAAAAAAAAACUUUUCUUCCUGGUGUAACUAUCAAUUUAUAAAGUGAAUGACGUGCAAGAUAAAAUUAAAAAUGCCAAAUUUAAGUUGUUUUUAUUUCCAAAAUUGACAAAUAAUAUAAAAAAUAAUGUGUUUUUAUGUCAAUUAUUCUUCCGAAUGAAUUAAUAAAUUCAAAAAAUUAAAUUAACUUUCUCUAUUUAUUUGUCAGAAAAGAAACUAGUAACUUUCGAAGUAAUUUAAUGAUACAAUGUGGAAUGUUGGAACAAUUUAGAUUACCUUAAGUAAUUUUAGUGGUUCAUGAAAAAAUAAGUUACUCUGUAUAAUUUUCUUAAAGAUACAAACCUUCAAAACCAUCAGGAACAUAAAUUUUUAAUUCAAUAUUACAAAAUAACAUAGGAAGAGCCAUGGGAAAAUUAGCUUCAGAUCUUAAAGAAAUAUGCCUAUAACCAGCCUGCAGACCAUCCAAUGGUAAAAUUCGUUGACCUAGUAAUUUACCAUUUUCUUCAUAAACACCAAUUCUUAAUACUGCUAAAUCAGGUAGGACAACCUACAUCAAAUUAGAAAAAAUAAGUAAAUUAUUUUAAAAUAUGGUAAUAAACAAAUUUACCUUUCUGAAUAAAAAGGGCUCUUCGUUAUAUACAGGAUUUAAACCAUUACUAGGUACCAUUCUAGUUCGGAAUUCUUUUCUUAUUGUAUCAGUAGGAAGUCCAUACAUGUCAACUUCUACAUAAGUUCCAACCUUUUUAUCAGACAAGAACUGACCAGCAAUCACUUGCACUGAACACUGAGCAGCAAUUACACCAUCCACAGGUGAUUCAGCAAA